UUAAAAAGCUCGUAGUUGAAUUUCGGGGUUAGUAGGUUGGUCAUGCCUCUGGUAUGUACUGGUCUCACUGAUUCCUCCUUCCUGAUGAACCUUAAUGCCAUUUAUUUGGUGUUUUGGGGAAUUUGGACUGUUACUUUGAAAAAAUUAGAGUGUUUAAAGCAAGCUAACGCUUGAAUACAUUAGCAUGGAAUAAUGAAAUAGGACGUUCGAUCCUAUUUUGUUGGUUUCUAGGAUUGACGUAAUGAUUAAUAGGGAUAGUUGGGGG
rnacentral:rRNA from 1 species